rnacentral:rRNA from 1 species
AUUGAACGCUGGCGGCAGGCCUAACACAUGCAAGUCGAGCGAGCGGCGGACGGGUGAGUAAUGCCUAGGAAUCUGCCUGGUAGUGGGGGAUAACGUCCGGAAACGGUAGCUAAUACCGCAUAACAUCAGAUGUGCCCAGAUGGGCUUAGCUAGUGGGGGGGGUAAUGGCUCACCUAGGCGAAGAUCCCUAGCGGGUCUGAGCGGAUGACCAGCAACACUGGAACUGAGACACGGUCCAGACUCCUACGGGAGGCAGCAGUGGGGAAUAUUGCACAAUGGGCGCAAGCCUGAUGCAGCCAUGCCGCGUGUAUGAAGAAGGCCUUCGGGUUGUAAAGUACUUUCAGCGAGGAGGCGUUACUCGCAGAAGAAGCACCGGCUAACUCCGUGCCAGCAGCCGCGGUAAUUC